CGAUAAGACGCGCGUGUUCAACAUCAUGCAAGCAUGUGGAAUGGUUAAGUGGUUAAAUGCUUGAUAAGUGAAAUGACAGCUUUAUUGCCUUUACGCCUACGCAGGUCAAUUCAGUUAAAAUUAAAAAUGAUGCACCGUCUAGUAUUUCUCGCACUUAUAUCAUCAGAAAAAACGCCAAAGGUAAUUACAUUUCAGUGUUGAAAUUUUUGUAUAUGCAACAGUUUCAUCAAAGGAGCG
rnacentral:lncRNA from 1 species